UACGGGGGGAGCAAGCGUUGUUCGGAUUUACUGGGCGUAAAGGGCGCGUAGGCGGCCAGCACAAGUCAGUUGUGAAAUCUCCGAGCUUAACUCGGAACGGUCAACUGAUACUGUGCGGCUAGAGUGCAGAAGGGGCAACUGGAAUUCUUGGUGUAGCGGUGAAAUGCGUAGAUAUCAAGAGGAACACCUGAGGUGAAGACGGGUUGCUGGGCUGACACUGACGCUGAGGCGCGAAAGCCAGGGGAGCAAACGGG
rnacentral:rRNA from 1 species